CUCCCUGGAACAGGCUGGCUUCAUUCUGCAGUAAAACCAUUCCUGGAAGGACAGGGAUCUGGGGUGCUCAGGCUCCCUGUCCACUCUAACGAAGGUAGAGAGUGAGCUUGGCCACUUCCCCGUGACCCUGAAAGGCGAUGUGGUUGGUGGCAGCUUGUGCUGGAGGCGCAGGUCCCUGGGCCAGGCCCUGGGCUCAACGUGCCGCCAACAGCCUCGCUGAGUCACUGCCACUCUGAGUCUUCCCAUCUGUGAGAUGGGGAGGGACCUGGACAGGACGUGGUGACCUCACAGCUCUCAGAUCCCACAUCGACCGGCCUGGGGUUGCUAGAUGGAGACCACAUGUGAAAGAAGAAAUGGGGAACAGCCCAGACACCAUACGGGAGAUGUUUUGGUGACUCUCUCACCUCCCAUUCCGUCAAGACCCAGCUUCAGCAAAGACCUAAACCUCAGACUCCCACCGUCUCUCCUGGGGCUGCCUUCUGUUGCCCUGCGUCUGUGUGUCCACCCUCCUCCUGAAGAAGUCAGACCCCUGCAGUGCCGACCCAGAGCAGAACCGCA